AUUGAACGCUGGCGGCAGGCCUAACACAUGCAAGUCGAACGAGUGGCGGACGGGUGAGUAAUGUCUGGGAAACUGCCCGAUGGAGGGGGAUAACUACUGGAAACGGUAGCUAAUACCGCAUACCAUCGGAUGUGCCCAGAUGGGAUUAGCUGGUAGGUGGGGUAACGGCUCACCAAGGCGACGAUCCCUAGCUGGUCUGAGAGGAUGCCCAGCCAACCUGGAACUGGGACACGGUCCAGAUUCCUACGGUAGGCAUCAGUGGGGAAUAUUGCACAAUGGGCGCAAGCCGGAUGCAGCCAUGCCGCGUGUAUGAAGAAGGCCUUCGGGUUGUAAAGGACUUUCAGCGGGGAGGCGUUACUCGCAGAAGAAGCACCGGCUAACUCCGUGCCAGCCGCCGCGGUAAUUC
rnacentral:rRNA from 1 species